rnacentral:RNase_P_RNA from 1 species
GGAGGCGACUCCAGGGAUAGUGCAACAGAAAAUUACCGCCACUUUUGUGGUAAGGAUGGAAAGGUGAGGUAAGAGCUCACCGGAGAUAGCGAGAGUUAUCUGCCGUGUAAACCCUAUUUGAAGCAACACCGUGGUAGGACAUUAUACGCUUGCUCGGCGUGUCCUUAGGAGGUGGCAUUGAGCAGUUCCGGCAACGGGCUGCCAAGAUAGAUAGCUGUUCACGACAGAACCCGG